AGCGAACGCUGGCGGCAGGCUUAACACAUGCAAGUCGAACGGGCAUACCAAUAUGUCAGUGGCCGACGGGUGAGUAACGCGUGGGAACGUACCUUUUGGUUCGGAACCACACAGGGAAACAUGUGCUCAUACCGGCUAAGCCCAUACGGGGAAAGAUUUAUCGCCGAAAGAUCGGCUCGCGUCUGAUUAGCUAGUUGGUAGGGUUAUGUCCUACCAAGGCGACGUUCAGUAGCUGGGCUGAGAGGAUGAGCAGCCACACUGGGACUGAGACACAGCCCAAAAUCCUACGGGAGGGAGCAGUGGGUAAUAGUGGACAAUGGGGGAAAGCCUGAUCCAGCCAUGCCGCGUGAGUGAUGAAGGCCGUAGGGUAGUAAAGCUCUUUUGUGCGGGAAGAUAAUGACGGUACCGCAAGAAUAAGCCCCGGCUAACUACGUG
rnacentral:rRNA from 1 species